CAGCAGCCACGGUAAUGCGUAGGUGGCAAGCGUUGUCCGGAAUUAUUGGGCGUAAAGCGCGCGCAGGUGGUUUAAUAAGUCCGAUGUGAAAGCCCACGGCUCAACCGUGGAGGGUCAUUGGAAACUGUAAAACUUGAGUGCAGGAGAGAAAAGUGGAAUUCCUAGUGUAGCGGUGAAAUGCGUAGAGAUUAGGAGGAACACCAGUGGCGAAGGCGGCUUUUUGGCCUGUAACUGACACUGAGGCGCGAAAGCGUGGGGAGCAAACAGGAUUAGAUACCCCGGUAGUCCCUGUCUCUUAUAC
rnacentral:rRNA from 1 species